rnacentral:misc_RNA from 1 species
AGCUCCUGGUUCCAGGUUC